GAUUUAAAUUCAGCAGCUAUACUUUCAAAUAUAUCUCUAUAUAUGUUUGAGUCCUUGUAAUCACAGGUUGCACCCACUGCUGACAAAUCUUAGUUAUUUUGGUGGAUGAAGUCUCGAAAAGCGUGUUUGGAAAUUUCAAAUGCCUCGUGCUAUUUGUGGGAUUGACCCUCCUUUCUGCCUCCUCCUUCUCCUCCUCCUCCUCCGGUGUGUUCUUCCUCUAUGGUCCUCUAGUCACCUGACCAAACGCCAUGCAAAUCACUCUGCUUCUAGAGCCUCAUUGGCCGCUUGUGCUUCAUUUAACCGCUGUCAGUGCGCAUCAUAUGGCUGCCGCUUUUACCAACUUCUCAACUCCGACAGGGAAAGUGGCUCCAAUGCGCAUUCUAUCACAGUGGAUGUGAACCAAGCCCAGGCGAAGACAGGGUGAAAUACUGGUUGGAGAACAUUUUAUAUGCCCUUUCGGAUUAAUUUUUAUCUCGCAUUUGCUUCAUUUGGGGUUAGAUUAUUAAUUUUGUAGCCCAGUCAUCCUGAGCGCACCCGUACUUGUGCGCGCCGCACCUAUCUUGAAAUAGACUUUUUCUCUGUUGGUGGCGAAGUUUAAAACCAGGUGAAUGUAUAGCAUGAUGAUGGAAACUGACCUUCAUUCCCCCGGCCCCCAAACGAACACGACCACGGGGCAAACGGGGCCGAAUAGCGGGUCCAAAGCGAAUCAGGAACGCGUGAAGAGACCGAUGAACGCGUUCAUGGUGUGGUCCCGUGGGCAGCGGAGAAAGAUGGCACAGGAGAAUCCCAAAAUGCACAACUCUGAGAUCAGCAAGCGGCUGGGCGCCGAGUGGAAGGUGAUGUCCGAGGCUGAGAAGCGUCCUUUCAUCGACGAGGCGAAACGGUUACGAGCCAUGCACAUGAAGGAGCAUCCGGAUUACAAGUACCGGCCAAGACGGAAGACCAAGACGUUGCUGAAAAAGGACAAAUAUUCCCUGGCCGGUGGACUGCUUUCUGGGCCCAGUGGUGGCGGUGGAGUUGGUUUAGGGGUCGGCAUGAGUUCAUCCGGGGUCGGGCAGAGGUUAGAAAGCCCCGGGGGUCACGGAGGCUCGGCCAGCUCUGGCUACGCGCACAUGAACGGCUGGGCGAACGGUGCGUACUCGGGGCAGGUGGCUGCAGCCGCGGCAGCCGCUGCGAUGAUGCAGGAGGCUCAGCUAGCCUACAGCCAGCACCCGGGGAGCGGAGCGCACCACCACCACCACUCACACCACCAUCACUCACACAACCCCCAGCCCAUGCACCGCUAUGACAUGACGGCCCUGCAGUACAGCCCCAUCUCGAACUCUCAGAGCUACAUGAACGCUUCUCCAUCCGGCUACGGCGGGAUCACCUACACACAACACCAGGGCUCCGGCGUCUCCUCUUCAGCUGCCAUGGGGACGUUAGGGUCGCUGGUGAAGUCGGAGCCGAGUAUUUCUCCGUUGUUGGAAUAGCAUCUGCACGGGAACUUUUUGCAAAGAGCACAAGUGGUUCCACAAAGAGUUUCUUUCACGGAGUCUUGGUGACAAACAAACUUGGGGUUGUUUGGCAGCAUGGGUCGAACUAAUAGAGGUGUUCAAGAGCAAAAGGGGGAAUUUAGAAUAAAAUGUUAAUGAAAACACGCAAAGUCCCUACUACCAGCAGUGCACGUGGAUCACUGUGGGUGGACUGCGAUUACCAGACAGCACCUAGUCUCCUCUACUGGCAAGCUAUCGCUGCAGCGAGCACCAGGAGAUGGCUGCUGAGCGAAAAAGACCUUUUGGAAAAUGUCAGCAAGAGCCAGUGCCUGAAAUUUCCUCCAUUAACUCUUUCCCAUGUGAUGCUACCUAAUUUUAACCCCUAAAUUACAAAAAAACCUUUUGUCAGUGUCUGAUUUCAGAGCAUGUGGGAGUUUUUUUCUCUUAAGUGGCUUACCUGAAAGUUGGACGUAACAAAAAAAAAAAAAACAAACCCCACCCUAUAUUUUAUCCAUCUUGGCAAAAACAAACACACACAAAAAAAUCUGCAGUGCCUGCAGCAGCUCUCCUUCCCCAUUCCCUUUCAAUGGUGCCAGCUUCACUGUCUUAAUACUCUUAGUCCCUCAGUUGGCAUGUUUUCCAAUAACCCGCUGCAUUUUCAGAACUGUAAAAUCCGUCAAAAUGCCUGUAAUGAAUAUUUCUCCAGCUUUGAGUGUAUUUAAUGUGCUGUUUGACCAGCCUGAUAGGAAACUUGUAAAGAUCUGGCGGUCGGUCCAGAGAAUCAGUUGAAGCAUCCGUCCCUGUUCGGCCACGGCUCUCAGUGCAGCGUGGAAACAGAGUGAAACAGGUAAUUUUCAUUUGAACACAAACCUCUGGCAGACUGUCAGAAAAUAAACAUUUAUUGUUUGGAUAUGCUGUUAGCUUUCUAAUUAACAUAUUUCCUGUGCAUGAGUGUACAUGUCAUGUAAAUUUCUAUUUUCAUUUCUUUAAAAAAAAAAUGGAAACUGCAUUUUUUUGAUGGAUUAAAUGUCAUCUUGUGAGACAGGUCUUUGUUAUGCACUCAACACUUACAUUUUCCGGUUUGUUUUUCUGUUGACUUACAUAGCAUUUGCUGGAGAAUUUAAAAAAUAAAAGUGAGAGAACACA